rnacentral:rRNA from 1 species
AUCGAACGCUGGCGGCAGGCCUAACACAUGCAAGUCGAGCGAGCGGCGGACGGGUGAGUAAUGUCUGGGAAACUGCCUGAUGGAGGGGGAUAACUACUGGAAACGGUAGCUAAUACCGCAUACCAUCAGAUGUGCCCAGAUGGGAUUAGCUAUUAGGUGGGGUAAUGGCUCCCCUAGGCGACGAACCCUAGCUGGGCUGAGAGGAUGACCAGCCAGACUGGAACUGAGACACGGUCGCGGCUCCUACGGGAGGCAGCGGUGGGGAAUAUUGCACAAUGGGCGCAAGCCUGAUGCAGCCAUGCCGCGUGUCUGAAGAAGGCCUUCGGGUUGUAAAGUACUUGCAGCGAGGAGGCGUUACUCGCAGAAGAAGCACCGGCUAACUCCGUGCCAGCAGCCGCGGUAAUUC